rnacentral:rRNA from 1 species
GGUUAAGCGACUAAGCGUACACGGUGGAUGCCCUGGCAGUCAGAGGCGAUGAAGGACGUGCUAAUCUGCGAUAAGCGUCGGUAAGGUGAUAUGAACCGUUAUAACCGGCGAUUUCCGAAUGGGGAAACCCAGUGUGAUUCGUCACACUAUCAUUAACUGAAUCCAUAGGUUAAUGAGGCGAACCGGGGGAACUGAAACAUCUAAGUACCCCGAGGAAAAGAAAUCAACCGAGAUUCCCCCAGUAGCGGCGAGCGAACGGGGAGCAGCCCAGAGCCUGAAUCAGUGUGUGUGUUAGUGGAAGCGUCUGGAAAGGCGCGCGAUACAGGGUGACAGCCCCGUACACAAAAAUGCACAUACUGUGAGCUCGAUGAGUAGGGCGGGACACGUGGUAUCCUGUCUGAAUAUGGGGGGACCAUCCUCCAAGGCUAAAUACUCCUGACUGACCGAUAGUGAACCAGUACCGUGAGGGAAAGGCGAAAAGAACCCCGGCGAGGGGAGUGAAAAAGAACCUGAAACCGUGUACGUACAAGCAGUGGGAGCACGCUUAGGCGUGUGACUGCGUACCUUUUGUAUAAUGGGUCAGCGACUUAUAUUCUGUAGCAAGGUUAACCGAAUAGGGGAGCCGAAGGGAAACCGAGUCUUAACUGGGCGUUAAGUUGCAGGGUAUAGACCCGAAACCCGGUGAUCUAGCCAUGGGCAGGUUGAAGGUUGGGUAACACUAACUGGAGGACCGAACCGACUAAUGUUGAAAAAUUAGCGGAUGACUUGUGGCUGGGGGUGAAAGGCCAAUCAAACCGGGAGAUAGCUGGUUCUCCCCGAAAGCUAUUUAGGUAGCGCCUCGUGAAUUCAUCUCCGGGGGUAGAGCACUGUUUCGGCAAGGGGGUCAUCCCGACUUACCAACCCGAUGCAAACUGCGAAUACCGGAGAAUGUUAUCACGGGAGACACACGGCGGGUGCUAACGUCCGUCGUGAAGAGGGAAACAACCCAGACCGCCAGCUAAGGUCCCAAAGUCAUGGUUAAGUGGGAAACGAUGUGGGAAGGCCCAGACAGCCAGGAUGUUGGCUUAGAAGCAGCCAUCAUUUAAAGAAAGCGUAAUAGCUCACUGGUCGAGUCGGCCUGCGCGGAAGAUGUAACGGGGCUAAACCAUGCACCGAAGCUGCGGCAGCGACACUAUGUGUUGUUGGGUAGGGGAGCGUUCUGUAAGCCUGUGAAGGUGUGCUGUGAGGCAUGCUGGAGGUAUCAGAAGUGCGAAUGCUGACAUAAGUAACGAUAAAGCGGGUGAAAAGCCCGCUCGCCGGAAGACCAAGGGUUCCUGUCCAACGUUAAUCGGGGCAGGGUGAGUCGACCCCUAAGGCGAGGCCGAAAGGCGUAGUCGAUGGGAAACAGGUUAAUAUUCCUGUACUUGGUGUUACUGCGAAGGGGGGACGGAGAAGGCUAUGUUGGCCGGGCGACGGUUGUCCCGGUUUAAGCGUGUAGGCUGGUUUUCCAGGCAAAUCCGGAAAAUCAAGGCUGAGGCGUGAUGACGAGGCACUACGGUGCUGAAGCAACAAAUGCCCUGCUUCCAGGAAAAGCCUCUAAGCAUCAGGUAACAUCAAAUCGUACCCCAAACCGACACAGGUGGUCAGGUAGAGAAUACCAAGGCGCUUGAGAGAACUCGGGUGAAGGAACUAGGCAAAAUGGUGCCGUAACUUCGGGAGAAGGCACGCUGAUAUGUAGGUGAGGUCCCUCGCGGAUGGAGCUGAAAUCAGUCGAAGAUACCAGCUGGCUGCAACUGUUUAUUAAAAACACAGCACUGUGCAAACACGAAAGUGGACGUAUACGGUGUGACGCCUGCCCGGUGCCGGAAGGUUAAUUGAUGGGGUCAGCGCAAGCGAAGCUCUUGAUCGAAGCCCCGGUAAACGGCGGCCGUAACUAUAACGGUCCUAAGGUAGCGAAAUUCCUUGUCGGGUAAGUUCCGACCUGCACGAAUGGCGUAAUGAUGGCCAGGCUGUCUCCACCCGAGACUCAGUGAAAUUGAACUCGCUGUGAAGAUGCAGUGUACCCGCGGCAAGACGGAAAGACCCCGUGAACCUUUACUAUAGCUUGACACUGAACAUUGAGCCUUGAUGUGUAGGAUAGGUGGGAGGCUUGGAAGUGUGGACGCCAGUCUGCAUGGAGCCGACCUUGAAAUACCACCCUUUAAUGUUUGAUGUUCUAACGUUGACCCGUAAUCCGGGUUGCGGACAGUGUCUGGUGGGUAGUUUGACUGGGGCGGUCUCCUCCUAAAGAGUAACGGAGGAGCACGAAGGUUGGCUAAUCCUGGUCGGACAUCAGGAGGUUAGUGCAAUGGCAUAAGCCAGCUUGACUGCGAGCGUGACGGCGCGAGCAGGUGCGAAAGCAGGUCAUAGUGAUCCGGUGGUUCUGAAUGGAAGGGCCAUCGCUCAACGGAUAAAAGGUACUCCGGGGAUAACAGGCUGAUACCGCCCAAGAGUUCAUAUCGACGGCGGUGUUUGGCACCUCGAUGUCGGCUCAUCACAUCCUGGGGCUGAAGUAGGUCCCAAGGGUAUGGCUGUUCGCCAUUUAAAGUGGUACGCGAGCUGGGUUUAGAACGUCGUGAGACAGUUCGGUCCCUAUCUGCCGUGGGCGCUGGAGAACUGAGGGGGGCUGCUCCUAGUACGAGAGGACCGGAGUGGACGCAUCACUGGUGUUCGGGUUGUCAUGCCAAUGGCACUGCCCGGUAGCUAAAUGCGGAAGAGAUAAGUGCUGAAAGCAUCUAAGCACGAAACUUGCCCCGAGAUGAGUUCUCCCUGACCCUUUAAGGGUCCUGAAGGAACGUUGAAGACGACGACGUUGAUAGGCCGGGUGUGUAAGCGCAGCGAUGCGUUGAGCUAACCGGUACUAAUGAACCGUGAGGCUUAACCUU